GGGGGCGAAUAGGUUCGACGUAGGCAGUCGGGUUUGAGCAGCGAGCAUGGGUGCCGCGCCCAUUAAAGCGGCGAAAAAAUAACUGCCAACACCAAUUACGCUCUGGCUGCUUAAUUAAGCGGCCACGGUGCCGGAGAGACUGCUCCCCUAUCUCCGAGUCGCCGUCACGAGGGGAGAUACCCGCGAGAAGGUGUCCGGGAUCUUGCGGGGAAAUCGAUUCCGGGCUGGCAGUGCGGAUAGCCUGCUCCGGGGCGGUCCUGGCUGCGAGAACAAAUCCGGAGCUACGCUCGUAGAGACUGAAACUGGAUUGCUUGCGGACGAGGGUGCGAUUCCCUCCGCCUCCACCA
rnacentral:tmRNA from 1 species